GAUGAACGCUGGCGGCGUGCCUAAUACAUGCAAGUCGAGCGAACGGACGAGAAGCUUGCUUCUCUGAUGUUAGCGGCGGACGGGUGAGUAACACGUGGAUAACCUACCUAUAAGACUGGGAUAACUUCGGGAAACCGGAGCUAAUACCGGAUAAUAUUUUGAACCGCAUGGUUCAAAAGUGAAAGACGGUCUUGCUGUCACUUAUAGAUGGAUCCGCGCUGCAUUAGCUAGUUGGUAAGGUAACGGCUUACCAAGGCAACGAUGCAUAGCCGACCUGAGAGGGGGGACGGCCAAGCUGGAACUGAGACACGGGCCAAAAACCUACGGGGGGGAGCAGGAGGGAAUUUUCCGAAAGGGGCGAAAUCCUGACGGAGCAACGCCGGGGGAGUAAAGAAGGGUUGCGGAUCGUAAAACCCUUGUAUUGGGGAAGAACAAAUGCGAAAGUAACUGGGACCACCUGGACGGUACCAAAUCAGAAAGCCCCGGCAAACUACGG
rnacentral:rRNA from 1 species